UACGGAGGGGGCGAGCGUUGUCCGAAGUUACUGGGCGUAAAGCGCGCGUAGGCGGGUCGACAAGUCCGCUGUGAAAGCCCGGGGCUCAACCCCGGAGGGUCGGUGGAUACUGUCGGUCCUGAAGGUGCUAGGGGGAGAUGGAAUUACCGGUGUAGCGGUGAAAUGCGUAGAUAUCGGUAGGAACACCAGUGGCGAAGGCGGUCUCCUGGGGCACUCUUGACGCUGAGGCGCGAAAGCUGGUGGAGCGAACGGU
rnacentral:rRNA from 1 species